rnacentral:lncRNA from 1 species
UUCUUUUAUCUGAACUCUUGACCAUUUCUUUCCUGUGAGAUGCAGGGGAUGGAAACGAAACUAAACAGUGCCUGUGGUCGCCUAGUAGGACAAGGCACCCCCAGGAGCAGAACCACAUGGCAGAGACUAAAGAGGAGGAAAUGAGCAGUGGCUGGUGGCUCCAGAAGCUGAAGCCCUGGACAGCUGACUUCCCAUUAAAAUGGAUGCCAUCCUACCUUGUCUCCUCGCCAUCCUCCCAUCCCUUCAUCCCAUGACCUGUACCCUCCUCUCACCCCACUAUGUGCCGUGCCGCACUCCCCAUGGGCUGGCUGGGCUGGCUGGCUGACUCCUGGGGAGCUGUGUUGAAAUAGGAGUUGUGCCUGCUGUAUCUUUUUGUGUGGAAAGAUUGGGUCCAUCCAGAUCUCAAGUCCAUCCCCACCCCUCUAAGUGAAGCUGGGAUAAAUAGCUGGUCAGCUCAGACUUCAGACAUCUAAAAUAUUCCAGCAUCGGUUCCCAAACCCUGCCUUCCUUCCCUACCCUUCUGGGUGAAAAACAGAGGGAAUGUGUAUCUCCCCUCUUUCUCCCUUCUCUACAUGUGUGACCACCGUUAAUAGUCUCUCUAGAUUGCUCUGACCCUUGGAGAACCAGGGCCAAAGCAAUCCUCUUUCCCCUACAUGGCCAGGCUGGGUGCCUUCCAGUGACCAAGGGCAAAGAGUAUGUCACCAGGAUCAGAGGGGUGAGGGAAAAACCACCCUAAAAGGGCAAAAACUGUGUGCAUUGUUUUCUUUAUUGCCUUGCUUAUUGUUUGAUCGAUUUAUUACACAGCGAAAAUCUACUUCCAUUUUUGAAGCAUCCAGCCCCAGAAUUUGUCUUCUUGACCCCCAGGGCACAGUGAAUUAGUCCUCUUUGAAGUCACAGAAGACGGGGAAAAUUCUCUCCCUUUGCCCAAACAGCUCCCCUUCACACAGAUUUUCAAUCAGAAGUGGGGUUAGAAACUACCAGUGAGUGAGGCUGUAAAGCCACACAAAUCAGCAGAGGCUCGACUAUCCCACAGAAGCUCUCAGAACCCUCCCGCCUCCCCUACCCCUUCGCACCAGCCCUCCCCCUCUCCUCCUUCGUGUGCAUGGUGGGGAUGGGCCAGUCAGCUCCAGCCUCACCAUCUCAGAACUAGACUUCUCAUUUGCUGUGGUGCUGUCUUUUCAACUAACACCACGUGCAUGUUAGAGACACGUGAGGAGCUUACCAAAAAACCCAUGCUUGGUCCCCUCCCUGAAUCAUUCCAGCAGAAUCUGUGGGGUUAGAGCCUGGCACUGCUGUUUUUAAAAAGUCACCCAGAGGAUUCUACUAUGAGACUUGGGUUGAGAAGCCCUUCUAGUGUCUUCUCUCCUUUGCCCCUCCUCAAAGCCACGUCCUUCUUCCCCUAUUUCCCAAGCUUUCUUUGGCACCAAGAAUAAGAAAAGGCCAUUGAGGAAUUAUGACUUCUCUCCCCAGUCCUCCAGCCCUGAACCUUCCAUCUCUGCCCCUUCCCACAGAACCUUCCACAUUAGGUCAACCUACCUGAGCAGAUCCCUGGAGGGCUAGUGGGUCCCACCAGUUCUACCUGGAGACUGGUGCCUGCACCCAGCCUGGGGGCUGCUCUCAGGUGACUUCUAGCUGUCCUUGGAGCAGAAACUUACCUUUGCCAUAUUCCCUAGCCAUUUGCCCUUCCCCCAGGCUCCCAAACUCCAACGUUGGAGACAUUUGGGUCUCCAAAUCCCAAUCCAGGUGGGAAGGCCCAUACCCAGUCUUAAUAACCCAAGCCUUGGCCAUUUCUGCAGAGCCACCUGAAUUGAUUGAAGGUUCACUGAUACAGAGGAAGGAGUCACAUUGUCCCAAGCCAGUCCUUUCCCCAAAAAUCGGACUGCAUCCAAAUCCCAGACAGCUAAGAAGAAACACCACACUUACAAGGUUUCCACUGCUGAGUGUGAGUAAAUGUGUGUGUGAAUGUGGUGUGUGUGUGUGUGUACACAUGGGCACACAAUAUAUAAACCUUAGAGAUGCUUAACUAUAUACUAAGUUCAUAAUGGGCCCAAGUGAAUUCUGUAUUAGAUAUAUACACAGAAUGUUGUAACAUCUACAAACUGUUAGACACCCUCCCCCAAACAUACACUCACACACACACACACACACACACACACACACACACACACACACACAACCUAAGGAAACCUGCAAUGUGGGAAGAGUUUUUUGCUACCCUAUCUCCCCCAUCUGAGUAGCCUCCCAGGGCAAUUAUUAUGUCACCCACACUCCCAGCUGCCCAGCCUGUCCCCCUCUCUGCCCCCCACCCCCUGCCGCCCUAUCCCACAUUGCCAAGCCUUCUUUCCCCAUUAGUCAGAAUGUCCCUGCCCUAAGUCCCAGCUCUCAGGGUCCUGCUCUCUGGUAGGUGACAGACAGUUUAGUCAGGGGGUGCUAAAGAGUUGAGCGGUACCCCUCCCGGGUGGCAUUUAUGUCUUAAUAGGGGCUACAGAUAAUGCCUUAAUCCAAAGGAGUGGCUCUAAUAGUGGGAAUUUCAGGCACAGUAGUGGGCCAGUAAGGGAGAUUAUUUUUGUAUCAGAGGGGGGCUUUUCGGAAGCCCCCAUCAUACCUAUCUCUAAAAAUCAAACCUUCAUUAGUGCAUAAGCACAAGCAAGCACACUUAAAUUAUAUACAUUUUCCACAGUUUUGAGACACCUCCCUUCUAUUGGCCCUAUCUUUAAAAAUGGGGGAAAAAAAAGAUUAAUUUAAAUCUCACUGGGAAAUGUAGCCUAUUUUUCACUGGCUUCCAGCCAUCUGGCCCACCCGACCCUGUUCCAUUCCCUUUCUGCUCCUUCUCUUUUCAACUAUCAUCACAUCAGUUCAUUGACGUGUGUCCUCUCUGUACCCUCCUUACCCACCUUCCUCCAUGUACUUCCUCCCUUUCCUGUUCCCCCAGCGGGAAUUGUGCUGUUUUUCAGUGUCGUCAGGACAAAGAGCAGGUUAAAAGCAUGAGCAUGCGUAUGUCACUUUGAAGAAAGAGAACCCAGGUAUUCUGCUACAGUUUGGAGCAAACCCCCAUGAAGGAAGAGAUGAAAGCUGGCUCUGCAGAGUGCCUUAAAAAUGACUUUAUUUAGGAAAUUCUGAGUCGUCAGUCUUUGGAUGUUACAUGAACAGAUGUUGCAUUUCACUUCUCUGGGAUUAAAAAAAAAA